CGGGGACUGGACUGAAGAGGAGGAGUAAUGUUGGAGGUCACCCCCCCCCCUUAUCCUGUAGCUUCCAUAGAGGAGGAAAGCAGUCUCGAAUUACAUCAGGGCUUUGAGGAAGGUAACAGAGAAAGGUGAUCAGCAGAGUUGUGAUGUGUUAGGAGAAGGAGGAUGGGAGGCAAAGCAGCUAGCUGACACAUCACUGGACAGCAUAACUCCCAAAACGUGAUGUUUGUUAAGGGUGCAAGAACAAUGGGCACAGAGACAGACGCUUGUAGAGGCAGGUGCUGUAGCUAGAAGGGAAGGGGGAGGAGCUCAGUGCGAGCAACGCCAUCAUUGAGGAAUGACUGGAUUUCCUGUCUUUCACUGUGAUGGCUGAAUAAAAUCACAAGUAAGAACUUUCUUGUUUCCUCCCUGCUUCUUGGUGCCAUUGGGGACGGGAGAGGAUUCCUCAAGCCUGACAUAACUCUCAACUGUAUUGCAAAUCAAGCUUCCAUUUCACCAAAAAAAAAGUUUCUCCCUGGCUCAAAACAUAAAAUGAGAUUUUGAGAGAUUCUGGGCAUGCAUAGAAAACAUUCAGCAGACCAGGUGCCCAAAGUCUGCUGCUGCUUAAGUGCCUGCAAGCAAGACCUUGAAUAUUAAACCCUUGGCUUUGAUAGAAAGCUUGCUUUGAUUGCUAUGAAACUGUGGGAACUACAAAGCCACCAGCUUAAUAGACAUGAAAAGUUCCUCAAUGUUCACUUGUACUGUUUGCUGUGAAUUACCUGGCUACAUCUUUUGUUUAAGCAGCCCUUUGUUUAAUGGGUAUCUUCUCUGUUUGAACCAAUUCUCAAGAUGGUUUCUUGCAUGGUUUUAGUUGGAUUUUUCCUCACAUCCACAGACCUUAACCACAUGUGGUUGUUCUACCUUGGGCAGGUAGGAUAGUUUUAGAAUAGCUCAUCUUUUGGAGACUGUAAAAAGAAGUCACACUCGCUUCAGAAAGAAGAAAGCGUUGGAGAGAUGCCCAGCCGUUGUCUGUGAGGAUCAAGGUAACAAUCAAUAAGCUUUGCAUUUGUGUGUUUCUCCAUGCACAUCUGGCCCUUAAUUGUUUGUCAGGCAUUUUGGAUUUAAUUUGCUAUAAAAGUGCAGAUCAUUAUUAUAAAUCUCCUUUAUUUUAUCUUCCUCCAAAGUCUUUUGAAAAGGAUCAAAGUAACCCUCAACACAAUAAAAAAGAGAGGAGUGGGGAAACAACUCUCGCACAUUAAAUCAUUGUAAGAGCUCCAAAGUACAUACGAUUCUUUUGAAUUUGACCGUCUAAACUCCUUGCAGAGAACUGAAAUUGUUUAUCCAAUGUAGAUAUUUGGAACAUUUUUAUGUGAGGUCAAGAGAAGGACAGCUAGCAGCACAUAUUGUAUUGAACAGUUCUGGUGGUGUAUUUGUCUGGUGGUUUUCUGAAAAAGAAAAUGCUGAAAAGGAAGUCCAGCGAGUACCAGGAUUGUUGAUGUCUGUCUUCUUUGUUCCUUACAAAUUGAGAAACCUAGAGGUGCACAAUCAAAUGAGGAGUAGAUCUGACCUAUAGGUGUACCUCAUUUAUUUAUUUUAAAGCAAAACAAUAAAUGAUUUAAAUGCAUGAAAUUAUGAGACAAUUUUGGAUAGCUUUGGACAAUUUUACUAUUUAAAAAACUACAGCCCUGAAACAAUACAAAUACAUUUCUGUUUCACUUUUCUCGCUGGCUCAUCAGCUAUACAUUUACAACCUCACUACUAUGUGCUAAUUGCAAGCACUGUCAAUCACAAACAUUGGAAGCUCGGCAUAUCUCUUAUCAUUAGCUCUGCAAUGCAAGAAUAGACGACAAGUUAGGGAAAUAUGGAUUUGACUAAUAGCCUCUAGGAGAAACAAGGGAGAAAUACAAGGUCAACAGCAAAGGGAAGUACAACUUCUUUCAAAAGACCUGUCCAGCUUGCAGUGCAACUUUCCAACCUGACCAAACCCCUAACUUGCAACCCAAACUUGCAACUCUCCUCAGACUUCCAGAAACCUCUCAGGAAUAUCUCUGAAAGAACAAAGAGGGGAAUCUACAGAUUACCUCCUGUGUUCAUGGCUGGCAGAGUCCUUUGAGCUCAGAAUCUUUCUUAAGUCAUUUGAGUACUUCGGGCUGUGGAGGUCAACAGAGAAUCUCAUGGAAUGCUUCCCCUCCUUUAUAUUUCUAAUUCCUGUUGUUGGUCCUGCCAAAUGGUAACUCUUGUGCCCUGCACUAUGGAUCCUCCAAAAAAGAAUUUCAUUUCUAACCUUCUUCAUUUGUCCCUUCUUCUGUACUCCCUGUUCUAUGUGUGAAAACGUGUGUGAAAAUACAUAAAGAAGGAUUCUCUCAGGCUUGGACAUAGCCCUUCAAGGUAUUCCUACUAGACCAAUAUUGAGAUUGCUAGUUAGCCCUCAUAACAACAGAUGGAGUAGGACCUUCCUGACAGGGGCUAGAAAAAAAGACAAAGAUAAAGAUAAAAGACCCCUGACAGUUAAGUCCAGUCGCGGACGACUCUGAGAUUGUGGUACUCAUCUCGCUUUACUAGCCAAGGUAACCACCGUUUGUCCGCAGACAGUUUUCCCGGGUCAUGUGGCCAGCAUGACUAAGCCGCUUCUGGCAAAACCAGAGCAGCACACGGGAACGCCGUUUACCUUCCCACCGGAGCGGUACCUAUUUAUCUACUUGCACUUUGACAUGCUUUCGAACGGCUAGGUUGGCAGGAGCAGGGACCGAGCAAUGGGAGCUCACCCCGUUGUGGGGCUUCGAACCACCGCCCUUCAGAUCGGCAAGCGCAAGAAGCUCAGUGGCUUAGACCACAGCGCCAACCACAUCCCUAGAAAACAGGCAGUCCUCCUAUAAUUCAAAUAUCAGUCAUAUGUGGGGGGGUUUCUGUCCAGAGACACAUGGAAGGAAAAGCUACAUGUUUGGUUUAGGAUUGGCCAACUGCUGUAGAGAUCUGGUUGACACAAAUGCAUGAGACAGGGAAGAUUGGGUGGCUUUGAGAUUGGUCAGAGUGCUAAAAAAUUGCAUAGCAUUCUGGUUCAAGUAGCUGUAGUGGUCAAACCUCCACUGUUUCUAUCUGUUGGAAGUCAAUCAUUUUCGGCUAUGAACCAGUAAGUUAUCUAAGAAACAAAUGGUCUUCCAGCAGUGUGAAACCAGAUUCCUGAAAGGCAGAAGUUUACUCAACACUUCCUGGGAAGUUUGGACAAAACCCGACGUCAACAAAAAUCAGUAACAGAUUUCCUUGUGAGCCUGUAUCUGUUUUCUAACAGGGUAAGAUGAUGAAGCUGGAUAUCCACAGGUUCAAAGAAAAGAAAAGAAAAUAUCUUCAACCUUACUUCCCAAUCUGCCUUCACACCAGCAAGAUUAAUUGAUUUUAAAAGUUUUCUGGAAUAAUCUAUUAAAAGGUAGGGCAAUCCUCUGC